CCCUUAGAUGUUCUGGGCCGCACGCGCGCUAAACUGAUGCAUUCAACGAGUCUAAAACCUGGUCUGAUAGGGCUGGGUAAUCUUUUGAAUGUGCAUCGUGAUUGGGAUAGAUGAUUGCAAUUCUUCAUCUUCAACGAGGAAUGCCUAGUAAACGCAAGUCAUCAGCUUGCAUUGAUUACGUCCCUGCCCUUUGUACACACCGCCCGUCGCUCCUACCGAUUGAAUGUUCCGAUGAAUACCAUGGACUGAGAGUAUGAAUGGGUUCGCCUAUUUCUGCUUCUCGGGAAGUGGAGUAAAUCUUAACAUUUAGAGGAAGGAGAAGUCGUAACA
rnacentral:rRNA from 1 species